GAAUAUUGGACAAUGGCGGCAACCCUGAUCCAGCGAUGCCGCGUGGGUGAAGAAGGCCUUCGGGUUGUAAAGCCCUUUAGGUUGGGAAGAAGUGCAUACGGUGAAUAGCCGUGUGUGUUGACGGUACCGACAGAAUAAGCACCGGCAAACUCUGUGCCAGCAGCCGCGGUAAUACAGAGGGUGCGAGCGUUAAUCGGAUUUACUGGGCGUAAAGGGCGCGUAGGCGGAAAGGUGAGUGUGAUGUGAAAGCCCUGGGCUUAACCUAGGAAGUGCAUUGCAAACGACCUAACUGGAGUAUAAGAGAGGAUAGUGGAACUUCCGGUGUAGCGGUGAAAUGCGUAGAUAUCGGAAGGAACGUCAAUGGCGAAGGCAGCUAUCUGGCUUAAUACUGACGCUGAGGCGCGAAAGCGUGGGGAUCAAACAGG
rnacentral:rRNA from 1 species